CAAACCGGAUAAGCAACCCGCCGGCACUGCACUCCCUCAUCCUCAUAAACACUCUCUCAAUCACAGAGUAGGUAAAUUAUUGCUGGUCGGCAUUGUUAAUUGAGGGAGAAUCAAAGUGCAUGCUGUCGCGUUGAUUUCACAGUGAAUGUUUAAGAUUUACAUUUUUGCCUCCUUUACCCUGCUCCUCCUGGUAGAAUGAUUUACAGCAGUGCUCUACAUCAACUUGUAUUAUCUUAUAAAAAGAGAAAACAAAAAGUUCACCCUU